AUAGGCAAAUCCCCUUUUUUUCCUAGCACGAUUCGCGCAGUUACACUCUGUCUUCACUACUACACUCCAUCUUCCACUACUAUGCUCCUGACUUCCACCACUACACUCCGUCUUCCAGUUCCUGCAUUCCAUUGACACAAGCACACACUUGCACUAUGUCUACCACAAGCACACACUGCACCAUAAAUUUUGAUACAAUUGCACGAUUCUGGCUUGGGUCCUUUGUAAGAUUUACAAGAGCGGUGCUAGAAGAAUUGGGCGAUUCCUUUGACACAAUUUGUAUAGUGUUGGCAUGACAUCACGGCUAUCAAGACCAAUUGAUGACAGAUCACCAUCAUCACAUUCAGAGCAAUCUUCUCCACAUGAUACUAGAGCAAGCUCUUCUAGUUUGUUUCUCAUUCAAGCAUCGUCUAAUAAUUACUUGGAUCUUUGAUUUAUACUUCAUUUUUGCAGGUAGCGUCAGAACAAGAAAGCAUGGACGGACAAGAGAGCGUGGAGGGCAAGUGGGAAAAAAGUUACACAAUUGCAAACUGGAGAAAAGUUUACGGUAGAAUUCGAUGACAAUCACCGACCCGUGGGAGAACAACAUCCCAAAUUUGUGUCACACCAAGGGGUGAUUGUAAGAAACAUGCUUAUUACACCUGUAUCAAAAGAAAAUUGGCAUCAUGUUGAGAAAGAGAAGAAGGAGCUCAUGCUUGCUAAU